CGCGUAGGCGGAGAUGUAAGUCAGAUGUGAAAUCCCGGGGCUCAACCCCGGAACUGCAUUUGAAACUGCAUUUCUAGAGGAUAGGCGGAGAAAACGGAAUUCCACAAGUAGCGGUGAAAUGCGUAGAUAUGUGGAAGAACACCUGUGGCGAAAGCGGUUUUCUAGCUUAUUCCUGACGCUGAGGCGCGAAAGCAAGGGGAUCAAACA
rnacentral:rRNA from 1 species